CAAAUCGUCAUCAUUUAGAUGUAUGAGUGUCAUCCCGAGCUUGUGUAUGUUCAGUCAAAGCCAGCACCAGCCACAGAAAAGAACCUUUGAGCGGGAGGUGCCGGUAAACGGUGUCUCCAUCACCACCUUCUUCGGACUCUGUCCUUCUCCUUUUAGGGAUUUGACGGAACAAACUGCCCCAGACACCACUGAGAUCAUGACAUAGGCCAGCACACUUCCGGAAAUUCAAACUGACAGAAACUCCUGCCUCCUGCUAUUGCAAAAGUGGCUUGGUGUAGCAAGACGCCAGCUCGGAGCCUGGACCGCAGCUAAAGAUCUCAUUAUAUUGUCAAACAAGACUGCAGUGCUCACAAGAAACAGCUAUGGUAUUCUUGUUGAGAGUUGGGACGAGAGGUUGAGUAAAGUUUAACAAUUGUUUAGUCCUGAUGAUGCUCAAAAGUUAGGUAAAUUACCACGCUACCCAGCCGUUAGUCCAAGUUGUAAAGAAAUCGUGGUGAUCCAUGUGAAAACAUUCACAGUCAGUCCUAUAAAGGAGUCUUACUGAGUGAGAAUAGCUGUACUUUAGAAAAUCCAAAGCAAAUGUCUGGCCAGAAGAACACAUUAGAUAUAAACGAGAAGCAAUCAGACUGGCAUCUGACUUCUCUGCAACAGUAAAGUUAGGAGAUGCUCAGAUACCCCAACAACUAAUGAAUAAACCAAAUGGAUGAAGAGUGGGUUGUAUGGAAAUGAACAGUAAGUGCUAAAUAACAAGUCUUAAAUAACGAGAUAGACCAAAGAGACUGGAAGGGAAACUCUAACAAUGUUCUGGAAUUAAACAAUUUCAACAAAACAAGCUAGUGAAGUGGGGAAGGAAAACGC